UUUGUUGUCAUUAAAACAUACAUCAAAAUGGUUUUGACCUCAACAGUCGUCAGCUGUCACAUAUAGUUAUAAUUAUUUCCCCUACAUAAAGGUAAGCUUUGGCACCAAGGUACACGAUUUAAUCACUUUUCACCUUCACUCUUUUUUGAUCAUGUAUUGGCUUUAGUGUUGCAAUGCUAACCUGUUUUGCAUAUACCUUCUCCCACCGUACCUGAAACCUAUCUCCACCAUAACUGUCUCAAGUCUCACCAUCAAAGUUAUCUAGUUUUUCUCUGAGCAAAUUAGUACCCAAGAUGUGAAAUGUAUUUUGAGUUGAAUAACCGGACAUAGUUUAUAAGCUAAAUUUAGCAAUAGAGUGAGGUAGAGGUGUCAGAUAAGGAACUUCCAAA
rnacentral:lncRNA from 1 species